rnacentral:tRNA from 1 species
AAUUAGAAAGCGAAUAAUUGCAUUUAGUUUCGACCUAAACCUUAGGCUUCUAGCCUUCUAAUUU